GAUUUGACCAUUAACCUCUGAGCACCAGGUUGUGUCCUUGCACAGCUCCAAGGCUAACCGCUAAAACGGCUAACAGCUGUUACCCUGCGGGGCCACAUUUUUCACGAGGGCACAACUGCACCUCUACCGAAUUUCUGCAUCAGUUCACCACUGGGUAAAAAAAAAAAAAGUUGCUGUAGUUGGCAAGUAGGCCUAAAAUAACUGACAUUGGGGAAGGCCACGAGCUGUGACACAGCUGUUUUUAGAGGACAACUCAACUUGUACGUGAAGCUGAAGCCAACUAAUUUCACUGUCGGGUAAAAACGUGAGAAAAAGAAAGCAGUGUUGCUAUUCUGAGUGAGGGAAGGGUGAACAGCAGGAGGUCUGACCUAUGAGGAGGCUGAGAGGAGGUGAGCAGGAUGGGAAGGCUGUGAGGAGCUCCAGAACGCUGAGGCUUGGAUCUCGUACGUACAGGUUGUAGUCUGCAGCGCCUUGUUUACUGCAGAGCUCCUGCAGUCUCCUCCUGUGAGCGCCGUCUGCGGUGUGUUCCACCAGCGCUCGAAGCAAAGCCUGCACAGACAUGAGAACAUCUGGUGAAACCUCUGGAAGGUGUUCUCGACUUCCAUCAGAGCAGCAGAUGAAGACAAACUUAAAAAAAAAACACAAGUUUUUCUUUUCUUUUUUAAAUAAAAGGCUUUUCACUCAACAAAA